UCAGGACAGCGUAGGGACGGCGCAGCCGGCGAGCCCCUGCCUGUGACAGCAACCUUUGCUAAAUCACAUACCAACGCUUCCCAUCCGUGCUCCUCACUUCUCCGUGGCCGGGAUGAAAUGCCAAGGUGAAAAGCAGGGUUUAAGAGGCUGACACAGGAUCGAUCCCAUGACACCCCCCCCACCCAUCAGGAGGGCACGCACUGGAAAACGCUCACACAUUUGGAGACUCUGGAACUGCAGGAUGGACAUUCGCAGGCCCGAGAUGUCUGCAGUGAAUGAGGAAACGGGGACCGGAGACGACUGAAACUACAAAUCCGUAUCCUGCCUGCCAGUUUCAAACGAAGGCAGAGGCCUUGCUGCUUAAAUUCUUAAUUCCUGAAAGGCACACUUGCCCCCUUAUGAAGUGACUCCCGUGUCCCCUCAAAGCUCUUCAGUGGCACCAAUCAAUGUGCUCAAGAGGGUGGAAAUUGUGCUUAUAGAGAACGUGUUUCCAAAUCAACGGGGCUUCUCCCCCUUUCUCUCUUUUGACGUGAGGCUGUAGCUCUGAGCACUCCAUUUAUGCCGAGUAUUCAUCUGACUAGCAGUAGAGGCUAUACGGUUGACCCUGAUUCCUGCUAGCGUGUUAGCGCUUGGCUCAUCUCCCCCACUUUGAACACAGAGUAGGGCUGCUUGCUUGUAUAGGGAAUGGUGCCACUCACAGCAGGCAGGUCUUCCCAGGUCCAUUAUCUUACUCACACCAGGAGGUCCACCUACCUGGUGAGUCUAGAUUCUGUCAAGUCAGCAGUUAACACUAACUCUCACAGGCUAUAAGGGCAUCAGAGAGAUGCAGGGUCUAAAUGGAGUCAGAGGUGGCAGAGGGCACCUCCAUAGCUCCAAGGUAAGCUCACCGGGGAGAGCAUUGAUAUCUUAUUCACCUGCUAGGGUGGAGCUCUCCGGGUAGUGGGCCAGUGUGGAAGAGACCCUGCACAUUUGUAUUCCACAGGGAGUGGAGAAGGGCUUCUGUGCUUUGUCAAGGUAAUUGCUUCAUUUAUUAUUUAAUAAAUUAUAUUAUAUAUUAUAUAUACAUAUAUACAAUAUGUAAUAUUUACUAAAAUUCAGGGUGGGGAAAUCUAGAGACUAAUGAUAAGUUAGGUUCUUUCCAAAAAAUUUUUUUGAAGGUCUGUUUCACGGUGGGUGA